rnacentral:rRNA from 1 species
CGGAAGGUCCCGGUGUUAUCCGGAUUUAUUGGGUUUAAGGGAGCGUAGGCCGCCCGUCAAGCGUGCUGUGAAAUGCGGAUGCUCAACAUCCGACGUGCAGCGCGAACUGACGGGCUUGAGUGGGCGCGAGGAAGGCGGAAUUCGUGGUGUAGCGGUGAAAUGCUUAGAUAUCACGAAGAACUCCGAUUGCGAAGGCAGCUUUCCAGAGCCCUACUGACGCCGAAGCUCGAAAGUGCGGGUAUCGAACAGGAUU